ACAGCUUCCUUCCUGCUGAUACCUGCUGUGCCCCUCCCUGCUGCUGUCUCAGUUCUUUUUAGUGGAGGUUUGCACAGGAGCCAGAGCUGUGAGUGAAUCCCACAUGCCUAAUUUUGCAGCUGCUUUGUGACUGGAGAGGGGAGACCCCACCUUUAGUGUGUUCUGUGAAUCCCUACGGGUUAAUGGCUGCAAAAAUAAAAUGAGAGGAAAAAAAAAAAGUAAAGAGAAAAGAUAAUUGGAGCAAAUAAACCAGGAUAGUUGGAGACAGAUAAAGAUCCUGGAAGAAAUGAAUGAAUUACACCUUUAAUCCAUUAAGAUAAGCAGCUUAUUUGAAUAGACAGAUUUGUCUGUGGGAAUGUUCUGAGUACAUUGCCGUGUUUCUCAGACCCUGCUGCCAUCUGUGUCACGCUUCCAAAUAAACUCAUGGGCCUGACAUCUCAUGGGAGUAUUGUCACCUUCCUUUAAACAUGAGAUUAUUCUCCCAAAAUAAUAUACAAAUGAUCCCUGUAUUUUGAGCUCAGUGGUAAUGAAGUAAGAACCACUGUCGGUCCAAAACCUUUUAACUUCAGCGUUUGGUCAGGGGAUGCGUUUCACUGCAGGCAGUGUGAGCUGUCUGGAGCCACUGAGCAGUGCCCCCUAUCCUAUAGUGUGCUGGGGGCUGAAGGCAAGCCAGCCUCGGGAUGCCUUCUGUCCUGUGCUUGGAAGUGCAGGAAAGCAGAAUCCGGAGUGAUCCCUUCUUUACCGCUUAAUUAAUAAAAAUAAAAGAGUGAUGCCUUGAAUUAGCUGCCAUUUCUGCCCUUUCAAGUGAGUUCCUGCAAUAUGUUUGCAGAUAUAUGGCGCUGGCACCUCACUUUCUGAGCCCCUUGAAAGUGUAAUGUGCUGAGUAGCUGACUGCAGGGAGCAGGUGUCAAACAAUAUUUAAAUGACGUUCUCAACAAAAUAAAUAUCGAGCUGCCCUGUCACUUUGGUAGGAGAAUAAUCUGCUCAAAAAAAAAAAUCCCAUUCAUUGUAAACUGCCUCUGACAUUUGUUCUUCAGGAAUUAUUUGCAGUUUAUCUUCUGAGCUGGAGCCUUUUAUCGGCGCAGCAGUUGAACUGCAGUGCAAAAAAAAUGGUAAUUGAGUAUUUUAUCAAACGCUUCCAACAAAACGGACUUUGCAAGUCGUAAAUGAAGAUUAAAACCAUUGUUGGCAGGGAUGAACAAAUUGGAAUGAUUUAUUAUCUGAAACAUCAAUAUGUCACUGCUCAGAAAUAAAAUAAAAAGAAACAAACAACUGCGCCCUCUCCCCCCAAAAUCUGCACUUAGUCUCAGCCAAGCGAUGGAAGGUAAAUGCAUGUUUUAAUUAUUUGUGCUAGAGAGGCUGUUUAUAAAAAAAAAAAAAAAAAAGAAAAGAAAAAAGAGACAGCAUCAUCAUAAUGGCACAGCUGCUGCGGGACAUUAUAUGAGGCAAAGAAAUGGUAAUAAAAGAACUGUGUCAAAGGAAAGCAACUCUGAAUGUGUACUUCAGCUCUUGUGAUUGCAGAAGGAAGAUUAAAUAUUAUAAAUGAGGCAGUUCGACAAAGUGGAUUUACUACUUCUGUUUAACACCUAAAGAGCCGCUGCUUUUAAUUGAGGCUUAAUCUCACUUACCUCAAAUGUUGCAAACGUAUCGUAUUUAAACCCUAUAAAUAAUUGCAUGGUCAAGAAUAAUUGAAACGAGUCUGAGUUAUUAUCUGCGUAUCAGUUUUAAAGUGUAAAACAAAUGGGCCACGAGCAGCCUGACAAGAUUAUGGAGUUUAGGAAUUUCUGUAAAUGUUCAUCCAAAUGUAAGCUAUAAUGCUUUUGAGAGACCUGUUAAUAGGGCAGAAGAUCUGUUUAUUUGGUACUGCUGUCCCUGAAGCAGUGUUCUGUAGGUAUCAGUAGGUAUCAAGUGCAAGCAGUGAGGUUGUGUUGGUUGUUUUUGGUGUAAACUUCAUGUGAGCACCUCACCCUUGGCAGUUCCUUGGGCUGCAGGCUGGCACUUGCUGGGCACGUCACAGAGGAUGCUGCCUCGUUCUGGAAGCAGCAGGUGGGUCAUAGUGCAGCUUGUUGUGAUGCUGCCUGUCCAGUGGUGAUGCUGAAAGACAUUGGAAGCUUAGGUAUGCCCAGGGAAGCUGGGAUUUUCAGACCCUCAACACCUGUGGGAGCAGGAUGCAGAGUGGGAGGUGGGCUGAGGGGAGAGCAGCAGUGAAUAGCUUCAGUGAUGUGCCUGGUGUUUGACACCCACAGCCAGGUUGGCAGGCAGCUCAGAUUCCACACAGUAGCAUCAGCGGCAUCUAACAGCCCUCUAGGAUGUGACAUCUGCCUUCUGCAUGGACAGCUCUGCAGGCAGGCGAGGGAACUGUUCUGCUGUGGGCUUGAAAUCAAGUUAAAUCAAGUUCAGCAGAGUUCAGUUAAUAAGCGUGUUGGAAGAGAGAGGGAAGACAAGCCUUGGAACCCUGGAACUGGCAUUUGUCAAACAUACAGCAUCAAAACAACAUCUAGCAUGUUGGAACUGUCACCUGCGAAAAAAAAGAAGCUGUUUUUCUUGGUUGUGUAGUUGAUAAAAUGAUAGUUGUAUUCAUCUGCAUCUUUGCUAUGUGAAACCUGGGCAUAUCUAGGACUGGUCCUGUGGAAGAGGAUUAACUUAUUCUGCUCAGCAGGAUAAAUGAUAACAGUGUUAAAGCAUGAUCCCACAUGCAUUGUACGAAAAAAAAAAAGGAUUCUUUUAAUGAUUUCAAGUGUAGCAAGAUAGGGCUUAAUUUGGCCCUGGACCAGAAAAUCUUUCUGUUGAUUUUAAGACACUGACCACAGCAGUGAUAACAACUAAUGAAUACAAAAGAGGCUUUAUUUUUACUAUACUUUUUCUUUCAUGUUUUCAAUUAAAACAAAAUAAAUGCCUUGUUAGAAAAGAAAAAUUUUACUUGAUUUGCUCUGCAUACUGGGAGGCAUUAAGUAUUUCCUUUUUAUUAGGGGAAAUGUGCCACUUGCAUUUAACUCAGAUAAAAACAAAUGAAGACAGAACUAAUUUAAUUUCAGAAUAUUUUUUUAUUUGUUCAACAACUGUUGUUUUAAAAUGGGCAGCACGCUGAGAAAGAAACAAAGCCGCUUCAACAAAGCAGGAAAUCAAUAACCACAAGAAAGCCUAAAGAAAAUGAAUGCAUACAGUGUGAGCAAGUGACACAAAUUUUUUUCUGGUGUAAGAAUGUUAAUAAUAGAAGGCAUAUGGAGUGGAUGAAAAGCAUGAUAGAAAUACACACGGAAAA